AGUCAGGUACACGUUUUCAGGUGCAAGAGACCAGUCUUACUCUGAGCUUCAAGGUAGUAGUAGCAGUAGUAGUAGUAGUAGUAGUAUCUGGACCUACACGUUUCACUGCUUCAGAAGACACUGCUUGAAGCCUCAACAUGAAGUUCACCAUGACCCUGCUGGCUUUGCUGCUGUCUAGUCUGGCGAGGAGCGCUCUGUGUACAAGCUCUCAUAACCAAUGCUGUACUGCCAGUCACAGGUGCACACCGUUGCACAACAGAAUGUCACUGAACCGACUGAAAAUUCCCACGCAAAACAUUCAUCUUGGGAAAAUCUCACUGGCCCCCUGGAAUUACAAAAUUGACACGAAAGAAAACAGGACACCACAACACAUCAAGAACGCUUCCUGUUUGCCUUGUGUGGACAAGGGGCUGAAGGCAGUUCCGAUUCAGUAUGAGAUUGAUUUAAUUCACAGAAUAAGAUGUGUUGAUAAAUUUGUUCCUUGUAUGUGUCCUUGCUGGAUUAAUGUAGGCUGCACCUGUGUGAGAGAAUAACUCUGUGUGUAAGAGAAUAAACUGGUGUUGUAUUUCUGCUAUAGGUAUCUUCCUGAGUAGAGUAUGUAUUGGCCUGCAUCCCAAAUGAUUCCCUAUUCCCUAUAUAGUGCACUGCAGAAACAAAUAUAUCUUAGGGUUUUACCAGCAUUUGCAACUUGAGUCUGAUAAUUUUCUGUACAAAACAAUUAAUCUGAUAAUACUUGUGGAAUAUAAUUAUUAUUUUAUUUAAACACGUGAUAUAUGUUUUCCUGUUUCUUGAAAUACUUUGCAAAGGAAACUUAUAUAUGAAAAACUGAACUAUUCAUUCCUUUAUAAUAGA